rnacentral:rRNA from 1 species
CGACGUAAAGAACUUGCCUCACAGCUAGGGACAACAUUUAGAAAUGAAUGCUAAUACCUGAUAUUAUGAUUUUAAGGCAUCUUAGAAUUAUGAAAGCUAUAAGCACUGUGAGAGAGCUUUGCGUCCCAUUAGCUCGUUGGAGAGGUAACAGCUCACCAAGGCGAUGAUGGGUAGCCGGCCUGAGAGGGUGAACGGCCACAAGGGAACUGAGACACGGCCCUU